rnacentral:pre_miRNA from 1 species
UGAAUACUCCCUCCGUUCUGAAUUACUUGUCGCAAGUAUGAAUGUAUCUAGAUGUAUUUUAGUUCUAGAUACAUCCAUUUCUGUGAUGAGUAAUUUGGAACAGAGGGAGUAGAAC